rnacentral:rRNA from 1 species
AUUGAACGCUGGCGGCAGGCCUAACACAUGCAAGUCGAGCGGGGUUUUCGGACCUAGCGGCGGACGGGUGAGUAAUGCGUAGGAAGCUGCCCGAUGGAGGGGGAUACCAGUUGGAAACGACUGUUAAUACCGCAUAAUGUCUACGGACCAAAGUGUGGGACCUUCGGGCCACAUGCUAUCGGAUGCGCCUACGUGGGAUUAGCUAGUUGGUGAGGUAAUGGCUCACCAAGGCGACGAUCUCUAGCUGGUUUGAGAGGAUGAUCAGCCACACUGGAACUGAGACACGGUCCAGACUCCUACGGGAGUCAGCAGUGGGGAAUAUUGGACAAUGGGCGCAAGCCUGAUCCAGCCAUGCCGCGUGUGUGAAGAAGGCCUUCGGGUUGUAAAGCACUUUCAGCGAGGAGGAAGGAGUGUGUGUUAAUAGUACACACCUUUGACGUUACUCGCAGAAGAAGCACCGGCUAACUCUGUGCCAGCAGCCGCCGUAAAAC